AUGAACGCUGGCGGCGCGCCUAACACAUGCAAGUCGAACGGCACCCCUCCUCGGAGGGAAGCGAGUGGCGAACGGCUGAGUAACACGUGGAGAACCUGCCCCCUCCUCGGGGAUAGCCGCGGGAAACCGCGGGUAACACCCGACGACCCCGGAGCCGCGCAUGCGGCGCCGGGCAAAUCUCCGGAGGGAGGGGAUGGCUCCGCGGCCCAUCAGGUAGACGGCGGGGUAACGGCCCACCGUGCCGACAACGGGUAGCCGGGUUGAGAGACCGACCGGCCAGAUUGGGACUGAGACACGGCCCAGACUCCUACGGGAGGCAGCAGUGGGGAAUCUUGCGCAAUGGGGGCAACCCUGACGCAGCGACGCCGCGUGCGGGACGAAGGCCUUCGGGUCGUAAACCGCUUUCAGCAGGGACGAGACAAGACGGUACCUGCAGAAGAAGCCCCGGCUAACUACGUGCCAGCAGCCGCGGUAAUACGUAGGGGGCGAGCGUUAUCCGGAUUCAUUGGGCGUAAAGCGCGCGUAGGCGGCCGCGUAGGCGGGGGGUCAAAUCCCGGGGCUCAACCCCGGUCCGCCCCCCGAACCCCGCGGCUCGGGUCCGGUAGGGGAGGGUGGAAUUCCCGGUGUAGCGGUGGAAUGCGCAGAUAUCGGGAGGAACACCGGUGGCGAAGGCGGCCCUCUGGGCCGAGACCGACGCUGAGGCGCGAAAGCUGGGGGAGCGAACAGGAUUAGAUACCCUGGUAGUCCCAGCCGUAAACGAUGGACGCUAGGUGUGGGGGGACGAUCCCUCCGUGCCGCAGCCAACGCAUUAAGCGUCCCGCCUGGGGAGUACGGCCGCAAGGCUAAAACUCAAAGGAAUUGACGGGGGCCCGCACAAGCAGUGGAGUAUGUGGUUUAAUUCGAAGCAACGCGAAGAACCUUACCAGGUCUUGACAUCCGAUGCAUAACACAGAGAUGUGUGAAAUCCUUCGGGACAUCGAGACAGGUGGUGCAUGGUUGUCGUCAGCUCGUGUCGUGAGAUGUUGGGUUAAGUCCCGCAACGAGCGCAACCCCCGCCGCAUGUUGCCAGCAGGUCAGGCUGGGCACCCAUGCGGGACCGCCGGCGUCAAGCCGGAGGAGGGCGGGGACGACGUCAAGUCAUCAUGCCCCUUAUGCCCUGGGCUGCACACGUGCUACAAUGGCCGGUACAGCGGGAUGCGAUGGCGCGAGCCGGAGCGGAUCCCUCAAAGCCGGCCCCAGUUCGGAUUGGGGGCUGCAACCCGCCCCCAUGAAGUCGGAGUUGCUAGUAAUCGCGGAUCAGCAUGCCGCGGUGAAUGCGUUCCCGGGCCUUGUACACACCGCCCGUCACACCACCCGAGUCGUCUGCACCCGAAGCCGCCGGCCCAACCUUCCGAGGGGGGAGGCGUCGAAGGUGUGGAGGGUGAGGGGGGUG
rnacentral:rRNA from 1 species